GACGAACCGUCCGAACGUUAUUCGGUAUCACUGGGCUUAAAGAGUUCGUAGGCGGUCUGACAGGUCAGGUGUGAAAUCCCACAGCUCAACUGUGGAACUGCGCUUGAAACCGUCGGACUUGAGGGAGAUAGAGGUAAGCGGAACAGAUGGUGGAGCGGUGAAAUGCGUUGAUAUCAUCUGGAACACCGGUGGCGAAAGCGGCUUACUGGAUCUCUUCUGACGCUGAGGAACGAAAGCUAGGGUAGCGAACGGG
rnacentral:rRNA from 1 species